AAUCGAUUUCGAGGUGGGUGGGCAGGGAAGGCACUAAAUCUGCAUUUCAGAUCCUCACCAGAAAGGCCCUAGACAGGUAGUGGUGUCGGCCGCCGGAGGGCCCGCGGGCCCUUUCCAUCGUGCCGCUUGCUGCCCGACUUUGGGCGAGUCACAGGCCCUCUCUGGAGCGUGUUCUCUGCCCCAGCUUCGCUUCUCUGGGUAACUCCUGACUUUCAGGUCUCGAUGUAAAAGGCAGUUCUCCUUGGAAAUCCCCUCUUCCCCCUUGAGCUGGCUGAGAUGCCUUGUGUUCUUAACAGCUUCCUGUGUUUGCGGCAUCAAACACCUGUUUGAUGUGAGGUUCCCAAGGCACGACAUGGGCCUGUCUUGUCUUUAGGUCCUUGGUGCAUACCAAAGGGGUCCCCACUUGCAUGCAGGACGAGAAGACUGAAUGAGGCCGGGGCCCCCCAGUGCCAGACCAGGUCCCAGGUGGAACUGAGAAACAGUGUCGUGAAUUUUUCCCUAAUGUCAAAGUUACUCAGUUUUUAAAAUUCUGAGAUCAUCUUUCCCAUUUCUUUUUACGUUAAGUUUAUACUUACAUUUUUUGCAUUAAAUUUAUGUUACAACAAAAUGAUAAGGAUAGCGGAUUGGUUCUUAAGAUUUCCUUCAUUGGUUAAAUAAGACCUAGAAAUGCCAUUUUUAAAAGUUACCCCUGUGAUUACUGAAUCCACAACAAACCUUUAUGAUUAUGAGCAGAAGAGCAGAAAGGUGUAGGGAGUUGCAGACCAGAGCUCUGCCUUUGUGAAGGUGGUUCCCUCCCCUAGGCUGGGCGGCGGUACGGUGUCUGAGAGCCCGGACCUGACCACGGACGGGGACAAGACACAUAAAAUAUCUGUUGAGUCUUCUAAGGCAUCUUGGACUCUGAGGAGUAUGUCACUUCCCCGUUCUGUGUGGCCAUUUAUGCACUCAUUCAGCAGACACCGCCUGAGCCCCCAGAGGCCCUGUCCUCCUGGGUGGCCGGGGUCUACGGUGAGCAGAACAGAGCCCCCGCCCCCGCCCCCACGGAGCUUGCAUCUUUUCGAGGAAGACCAGUGGUGUCCACCAGAUGGAGACUAGUUAUCCACGGUGUCUAGGCUGCAUGAUCAGGUUAUAUUUACUGAUCUGAGUGGGUGCUUCGUGGUAUCUUUGAGUCUUUCUGUCCUUCCUACCUUUAAGUAUUCCUUUAAGGGUGGAGGAGAAGUGGCUCACGAAUCUGCAGGCUGCAGUUGCAAAGAAAGGCCCACACAGGGACUGCCUCCCUGUGCCUCACAGCAAAGACAUGCUUGGCACUGAGGGCAGAAAAGAGUUCGUAGCAACCCCUUUCCUAGCAAGGGCCCCAAAUGCGGUGGCAGAGAGCUGUUAUGCAUCUGAAUUGCAGUGGGGCCAGUUUACAGCAAAAAGUUGAAUAGAUCCUGGGAUCAACUGAGAUCUGUUACUAGGAAAACAAAAGUCACUUAGUUUAUUUUAGGUGAGAAGGACUUAAUUUAGGAAUUAGGGGCUUAGCAUAAACAUUGGAAGAACUGGGGAAACAUGUCAGAGAAAACGCCCACCAGAGGCCGAGAGGCCAGCUGAUCUGAAGCAAAAUUUCUGAAGUUCUCAAGAGCUUGCCUGGAAGUGACUGCAGUUCUCAAGACAGCUGCUGUGACGCCUCCGUCUUCCCACACAUCUGGCUGUAGCUGCCUCCAGAAAACGACGGCUCCUCAUUUACCUGGCACAUCGCACGUCUUCUGGGUCUGUCUUUGAAAAGGAUGGAGUUUGUCUGAGCUUCACCCUUCCACAAGGAAUUAAGAUGUGAUGGAGGUUCCCCUUCACCGAAAGUGCCUGUGACCGCCCCAUGGGGAGCUGCGUGGUGCUCACCUCUGUCUGUGCAGAGGCGAGGGGGGAUGAGGAGGAGACGACGGGGAGAAGCCUCGGGGUGGUGGGGCACCAUCUGGAGAGAAGCUGGGUUGCUGAAUCCUCUGAGAGAUUCUUCGCCGGGCUUGGAUUCUGGCCCGGAGUGGAAACCAGAUGGAAUUUAAGACCCUGUGUUCCCUGCUCCAGUGUCCUCAAAAGGAGAACCUUGGCCACAUUUGUUUUCCUGUUCUUGUUUUUUCCCCCCUUUUUAAAAUUGAGUUGUAAUAAUACAGUAAAGCGCACAGAUCGUAA